rnacentral:rRNA from 1 species
UUCCGGUUGAUCCCGCCGGACCUGACUGCUAUCGGAUUGAUACUAAGCCAUGCGAGUCAUUGUAGCAAUACAAGGCAUACGGCUCAGUAACGCGUAGUCAACCUAACCUAUGGACGGGAAUAACCUCGGGAAACUGAGAAUAAUGCCCGAUAGAACAUUAUGCCUGGAAUGGUUUAUGUUCCAAAUGAUUUAUCGCCGUAGGAUGGGACUGCGGCCUAUCAGUUUGUUGGUGAGGUAAUGGCCCACCAAGACUAUUACAGGUACGGGCUCUGAGAGGAGUAGCCCGGAGAUGGGUACUGAGACACGGACCCAGGCCCUAUGGGGCGCAGCAGGCGAGAAAACUUUGCAAUGUGCGAAAGCACGACAAGGUUAAUCCGAGUGGUUUCUGCUAAAGAAACCUUUUGUCAGUCCUAGAAACACUGAUGAAUAAGGGGUGGGCAAGUUCUGGUGUCAGCCGCCGCGGUAAACCGGCACCUCAAGUGGUCAGGAUGAUUAUUGGGGCCUAAAGCAUUCCGUAACCCGCUCCUGUAAGUUUUCGGGUUAAAUCUUGUACGCUCAAC